CGUACGACAAUCCUUUGGAUCAUAUCACCCUAAUAUUUAUAUCUAUGAAGAUAAUUAGAAUAAAGUUUGUUCGUCUCUCUCGGGCGCGGAUGGCGACUGCUGACGGGUUCGUAUGGCGCAUGAACAACGACCCACGCCCCUCCGCGUCGACUAGGGCUCCACCAAACCGAUUGCGUUGGAAAUGUAAGUCAUUUCAUUCGACGGACGCCCGUCGUGGUUGCUUAGCGGGUGUGUCGUAGCUACGCUCGGUUACUUAGAUCCCCUGUUGUAUUUCUUCUUCCCGACACGUCGCCAUGACUUUUUGUGCAUACUAAGAAUACGUGACACGUUUUUGAAUAUUCGCGAGUUUUUUUUCAUAACUUAGGUAGGUAUUUGUUUUGUAGCCAGUCAAACUUAAUUUUAAAUAGUAUCAAAACUGCGUAGUUUUGUGGUACUUUUCGUUAUGUCAUCACAUCUGUCAAAGUGAUAAUGAAGAAAUUGUUGAUUUGUUGGUUUAGUGAAAUUAUUGAGGAACCAUCUAGUCCUCAGUACAUUUAAGUGAUUAUUGACGGUAUAUCUGAUAAAGGAACACGUGAUGAAAUCAUUUUUCGGUACAACCUAAAUAAAUCCUUAAAAUAUGUCCUUGAUAUAAAAACAUAACCUAUCUGUUUAUAUUCGGUAAUCAUUUUACUUUCGUCGUUGACGUCGAAGGCGUUAUAACAAAAAAUAACAUUUGUUAAUAUGGACUAUUCAGUGUUAAGCAUUAGUGAUAAACUUUCCGUUUCGCUACAAUACACGGUGACUAGAUCAAAAUUACCAAAAACGAUUGCAAAGAAGAGCUUUCGGAAAUUUUAUCAAUUCAUCAAAAAAUAGUGAAAUAGUGUUAUAUUUAAGUAAACAUAACUCGACAUCAUUUUCUAAUGGUUGGGGUAAUAGUGACAUUAAAAUAACUCUUGUAUGACUUGUAUCCCCAAUUUAAUCUCGUUAUCCUAUAGUCUCUCCCAGUCCUUUCGAGCUGGCUAAAUGCGUUGACCAGCUGUUAUGAAAGCUGGUAAUUUACUCGUUUUAGAUAAACCUUACCCAAAUAAAUGAUAUAUCUUUCCGUUGGAAGAUAGUGGACUCGUCAGAUACUUACGAAAUUAAUAUAUUAGUCCUUGAGAGUUUCUUAUAUGUUAGAUAGAAGAUCGUUGCAGGAUACACGUUGAAACAUCCGUGUUGCCUUAGUGCGAUUUCCAAAAGGGUAUAUGGGUAUGCAUUUUUAUCCAGCGAUGGGCAAUAACUAUUGAUUCUAUGUGUUUAUAGAGGUAAACUCAAAAAUAUUAAAACCAACCGCAACUACAGCUCCCUGUAAAAUCUUUCGAUGAGUAAGUUCUUAAAGCCUAAGGACCAAGAUUAUGAACUGAGGAGAGAAACCGCAUUAUAUUUCAAUUAGAAACGAGGAGUAGCGUACUUAUUCAAGUAGAAGUAGGUAUUAGGCAACGGUAUGGGAGCAAUUUGCGGAACAACCGACACUGUCGUUAUAACCCUUGCAAUAAAGAGUAUAAAAACUCAACCACGUCGGAUAUCUUGUACAUACUAUAAAGAUUAUUCGAUAUUAUUUUAUUAUAAUACUCCUUACAACAAUAGCAAAGAUCCUUUGUCGACUCAAAGACGACCUCUUGGCAACAACCUAGUAAAAAAAAUGGAAAAAGCUGCCGCGUCCGUAAUUGUCCUUAGCACGUUCAAAGCCACUGAAAAGGAUCGGUAUCGGUAAAGUUCUGUCAUUAUUUUUAUCGUGUAGUUUCUCUUAAUUUACGCUCUAAGAUAGGAUUUUAAAAAUCAACAUCUCUGCAACCCGCAUCCGCUAUGCAAAUUUAUUUCAGGUACAACAAUUGGAAUGCUAUUUCUCUAAAAGGAUAAGUAUAUUAAAAACAACUUAAACAACAAACGUUUGUACGCAAGUUACAUACCACAGUAUGUUAAAAAAAACCAUGUCUCAAAUGAUUGCUGUUGCAUUUUAAAUGCAAAUUCGGCAUGCAUUAGAUUAAAUUAAGCUUAGCGACAAAAUCGAUCGACUUGACUUGGAGGUGUGACGUGCUCGUAACACGAACAAUAAUGACAAUAAAAUUACUAUUGGAAACUUACCUACAUAGGUACAUGUACAAAGUUUGGGAUCGUGCAAACAUUGCGUAAUGAUUUGGGGAAUGAACUCUUAAAAAAAGGUCAUUGUUGAUCAUCAGUAUGACUCGACGUCCCAAUUGCAAUCCAAUGCAAAUAUGAAAGCAAGAUACAGGAUAAAAUGAAACACCUUGACCAACUAGUUCCAGUUUGCUCCUUAAGUUAUGACAACAGUCGCGUUAUGGCUAAAUCAUUACUAAUAUUAUAAAUGCGAAAGUUUGUAAGUGCGUGUGGUUGUUGAUACUCAUUCACGCAAAACCCACUGAACGGAUUUGAUCAAAGUUUGGUACACAGAUAGUUUAUAUCCUGGAUUAACACUUCAAACAUAAAACCGGUUUCAUUCCGAUUUUAUGUUCUCGUGGGAUCAUUUCGACUUGUAGGCGGAGGCUGGCAACAAGCUAGUAGUAACUUAGCACAAACUAUCAUUUUUUUACUGUUUUCUACAAUUUCUACCCAUUUUUGGACUCUAACCUGAGGACAACAUGAAACCUGACAGUUGGCAAAUGGUAGGUUGUCUCGAUUCUUUGGAAAAGGAAUGAAAAUGGUAAAAUUAUACCAUAACUAUUAGCUGCAACUUCGACCGAUUUUAAAUUUAAAACUAAUUUAAAUAAAAACCAAAACAGAUUACUACAAUGAAUAAACAGUUCCCCGAAAGGCUCAAUUAAUCAAUACGCUAAAACGGUUCCUAACUUUGAAGGGUUAGAAUUGGGUCCCGCAAAUUACCGCAAGACGAUAUAAUCUUCUCAACAAUAUCAGUUUAGUGGCAGUACAUAGGCGAGGACUAAAAAUAACACGGUUGAUAGCAAAUGUGACCGCUUGGUGAGAUGUUUGGAAAGAGUUCAAAUUUUUGUCUUUUAUCGCUAUGCUAAUUAAAUAAUCAGUAAAAGUAAGGACGAUGUUGUUAGAACGAGGUCAAUAUAACUUGUGUACGGAAACAACUUCAUCAUGAUAGUUAUUCCACGAUGAAAUCGUAUUGAUCCCGUAGAACAUGGUAGGUACACUAGUUACGUCAGAAACGAUUGUAGCUAACGAGCGUGUCAUGGAUUUCUAGACUUAACUAUCUAUUAUUCAGUGUGCGGCUACGGGCUACCUGUAUCAAGGUUAUUUGUGUAUUGAUCCCGCCCGUUCGUGGCUACGGCUUACUGCGCAGGUCCGCGCAUGUAACGAUGACGAAAUUGAGAUAAAGAGAGGCACCCGGGCGAGCUGCCAAGAGCCCGUUUCAGUUUGCUCGUAACCGACGUAGGGUAUACACGUAUCGCAUUUUUUUUUUCGCGUCGUCUGUCACGAACCUGUAAUCAGUGUACAAUUAGGAAGUCAAACAUUACGGUAUUUUCUAUGCGUAGUGGUAUUUAAUGUGAUCUUUAAGAUUCUCGUUGGUAUUGGCGUAAAAUUGUUAUAAAUUAUAAGUGCAACAAUAUAAUUUGCGGUUAAAAGUGAACGUUUAAUUUUUCGUAACGUUAGAGUAUUUUACACUUGUAUCGCCUUCUCGCGUAAUGCUGUUCAUAAUAUAAGGAUUUCUUUUGGCUUGCUAGUGUAAAUAUCACAUCACUGAAGGAUGCACAGUACUUCUUACGCACCUUUACACCUAAAAAUUUUGCGAAUUUUGUAUGCUUAUUGGUAGUUAUAAUUUUUUAUGCCUGAUAAGCAACCGAAGCUAAUUGUAGUAUUUAUGUAAGAAAGGAAGGUAAACUGAAUAAUGACGACGAAUUCGAAGAACACUGAAAAAGUUAUUUACAUGAAAACCAAAUGUAAAAAAACUUAAUUUAAAUAAAAAUAAAGAUUUUACAAAAUUG